rnacentral:rRNA from 1 species
AUUGAACGCUGGCGGCAUGCCUUACACAUGCAAGUCGAACGGCAGCACGGGAGCAAUCCUGGUGGCGAGUGGCGAACGGGUGAGUAAUACAUCGGAACGUGCCCAGUAGUGGGGGAUAACCCGGCGAAAGCCGGACUAAUACCGCAUACGACCUACGGGUGAAAGCGGGGGAUCGCAAGACCUCGCGCUAUCGGAGCGGCCGAUGUCAGAUUAGCUAGUUGGUGGGGAAAAGCCCACCAAGGCGACGAUCUGUAGCUGGUCUGAGAGGACGACCAGCCACACUGGGACUGAGACACGGCCAGACUCCUACGGGAGCAGCAGUGGGGAAUUUUGGACAAUGGGCGCAAGCCUGAUCCAGCCAUGCCGCGUGCGGGAAGAAGGCCU